AUUACUGAAACUACCAGAUCCUCCAGUGAUGAUAUUACUCUCUUCUACAACUUCAGCUACUUUUUACUAUGCUAAAACAUUUAAACACAAAUAUUCAGUGCAGGGUAAACAUCAUCUGUUCAUAAAUAAUGUCACUCUUGAUGAUUUAGGACUUUAUUACUGUGUGACCUCAAGUCCACCUCCAAAAUACAGCAACGGCACCAGACUGUACAUCACUGAACUAACUCUAAAUCUAGAGAACAAGAAUCAUACAGUGGUGAAGUAUAUUGAUCAGAAUCAGACACAAUGGCUGAUUAUCCUCAUCUCUGCUGGAAUCAACGCUCUUCUGAUCAUUGUGGUCAUAGGACUAUUAAAGAUUCUUGUUGACGGAAGGAACAGAGACAACCUGAAAACAUUUCAGGAUACAAAUCUUCACAUUCUGGAUUUUGAACAAUCUCAAGACUCAAGCCAAACACGGAUACGUUACACGAAAAUAUGAAGUACAGUAUAUAAACAUCUCAAUCCUUGUUUAAGUAUAAAGCUUAUGUAUAUGUGCUGAUAAUGCUUUUAUACACCAGUGUAUGUGCU